UGACUAUACAAAGGUAUUGUAAUAAGAUUUUAAUUGAAUGCUAAAAGAAUGGAAAUUUAAAAAAAAACUUUUUUAAAAAUAAAAAUUGAAUUUUUUUUAAUUUGUGCAAAAACAAUUAUUAUUAUUAAAGACAAGAAGACCCUAAGAAUUUAUGAUUUUGUAAUUAAAAAUUUUUUCAAAAAAAUCUUGAUUGGGGCGAUCAAAAAAUAUUAACAACUUUUUAAAUUUAAAUUGAUCUAUUAUUAAUAAACUAAUGAAUUAAAUACUCUAGGGAUAACAGCGUAAUAAUUUUUGAUAGAUCUUAUUGACAAAAUAGUUUGCGACCUCGAUGUUGGAUUAGGAUUCUUUUUUAAUGAAGAAGUUAAAAAAAGAAGUUUGUUCAACUUUUAAAUUCCUACUUGAUCUGA
rnacentral:rRNA from 1 species